rnacentral:rRNA from 1 species
UCGGGAACUGUGAGACAGGUGCUGCAUGGCUGUCGUCAGCUCGUGUUGUGAAAUGUUGGGUUAAGUCCCGCAACGAGCGCAACCCUUAUCCUUUGUUGCCAGCGGUUAGGCCGGGAACUCAAAGGAGACUGCCAGUGAUAAACUGGAGGAAGGUGGGGAUGACGUCAAGUCAUCAUGGCCCUUACGACCAGGGCUACACACGUGCUACAAUGGCAUAUACAAAGAGAAGCGACCUCGCGAGAGCAAGCGGACCUCAUAAAGUACGUCGUAGUCCGGAUUGGAGUCUGCAGCUCGACUCCAUGAAGUCGGAAUCGCUAGUAAUCGUAGAUC